CAUUUUCAAAAAUACACUCUUCAUUAAGUGGCAAAAGACUCUUAUACCCUUGUUAUUUAUAUAUAUAAUAAAUCAUUACUUAAAUAAAAAAUAAUAAUAAAAAAAGUAAAACUUUUUUUAUGUUUUCGAAUUAUACUUUUUCAAAUUCGAACUUUUUUAUAAAUUUUUUUUUUGAAAUUUUUUUCGAAUUUUUUUUUUAUUUUUUUUUUCAAAUUUUUUUUGAAAAACGAAAAUUAUGUUUGAAACUAUUUUUUAAAAUUUUUUAUAUUUUUUUAAGUAUUUAUUUAUAUAUUUAUUAGAAUCCUAAAUUUCACAUUCUAAAAACCUUACCCACCUGUCUAACUCUAAACCCUAAGUCUAGAUUAGUUAACCCUAAGGGUAUAAUUGUCUUUUAUCCUUCACUAAAAGUGAGGGUAAAAAUGGUUAGUGUAAACAUGAAAAGUGGUACUAUGAAUGUGCUAUUU
rnacentral:lncRNA from 1 species